UACGAAGGGGGCUAGCGUUGCUCGGAAUCACUGGGCGUAAAGCGCACGUAGGCGGGUUCUUAAGUCAGGGGUGAAAUCCUGGAGCUCAACUCCAGAACUGCCUUUGAUACUGGGAAUCUCGAGUCCGGGAGAGGUGAGUGGAACUGCGAGUGUAGAGGUGAAAUUCGUAGAUAUGACAUAGAACACCAAUUGCGAAGGCAGCUCGCUACACAUAUAUUGACUCUGAGGCACGAAAGCGUGGGGAUCAAACAGG
rnacentral:rRNA from 1 species